rnacentral:rRNA from 1 species
AGUUUUUUAAUUGAAAGCUGGAAUGAAGGGUUGAAUGAAAAAAUAACUGUCUCUAUUUAAUUAUUAUAAAAAUUUAUUUUUAAGUUCAAAAGCUUAAAUUUUAUUAAAAGACGAGAAGACCCUAUAGAGUUUUAUAAUUUUUAGUAUAAAAGAUUUGGAAUUUAUUUUUUUGUAUUUAAAAAUUAUUUGAUUGGGGUGAUUAAAAAAUUUAAUAAACUUUUUUAUUUAAUUAAUAUUAAUUAAUAAAUAUUUGAUCCAAAAAUUUUGAUUAAAAGAUUAAAUUACCUUAGGGAUAACAGCGUAAUUUUAUUAGAGAGUUCUAAUUGAUAAUAAAGAUUGCGA